rnacentral:guide_RNA from 1 species
AUAUAAGAACAUAAUAUAAUGAUGGUAAUAGAACGUGUUAGAGUUAUA